rnacentral:piRNA from 1 species
UCUGUGCUGCACGUCAUGUCUUUGGGAGC